AUUGAACGCUGGCGGCAUGCCUUACACAUGCAAGUCGAACGGCAGCACGGACUUCGGUCUGGUGGCGAGUGGCGAACGGGUGAGUAAUGUAUCGGAACGUACCUUUCAGUGGGGGAUAACGUAGCGAAAGUUACGCUAAUACCGCAUAUUCUGUGCGCAGGAAAGCAGGGGAUCGCAAGACUUUGCGCUGAUUGAGCGGCCGAUAUCAGAUUAACUAGUUGGUGAGGUAAAGGCUCACCAAGGCGACGAUCUGUAGCGGGUCUGAGAGGAUGAUCCGCCACACUGGAACUGAGACACGGUCCAGACUCCUACGGGAGGCAGCAGUGGGGAAUUUUGGACAAUGGGGGCAACCCUGAUCCAGCCAUGCCGCGUGAGUGAAGAAGGCCUCGGUU
rnacentral:rRNA from 1 species